rnacentral:rRNA from 1 species
UACGUAGGGUGCAAGCGUUGUCCGGAAUUAUUGGGCGUAAAGAGCUCGUAGGCGGUUUGUCGCGUCGGCUGUGAAAACUCGGGGCUCAACCCCGAGCCUGCAGUCGAUACGGGCAAACUAGAGUGUGGUAGGGGAGACUGGAAUUCCUGGUGUAGCGGUGAAAUGCGCAGAUAUCAGGAGGAACACCCGUGGCGAAAGCGGCUCUCUGGGACGGUACUGACGCUGAGACGCGAAAGCGUGGGGAGCAAACAGG